rnacentral:rRNA from 1 species
UACGAACGCUGGCGGCGUGCCUAACACAUGCAAGUCGAGCGAAGCGCUCAGGAGGAAGUUUUCGGAUGGAAUCCUGAAUGACUGAGCGGCGGACGGGUGAGUAACGCGUGGGUAACCUGUCUCAUACAGGGGGAUAACAGUUGGAAACGGCUGCUAAUACCGCAUAAGCGCACAGUACCGCAUGGUACGGUGUGAAAAACUCCGGUGGUAUGAGAUGGACCCGCGUCUGAUUAGCUAGUUGGUGGGGUAACCGGCCUACCAAGGCGACGAUCAGUAGCCGGCCUGAGAGGGCGAACGGCCACAUUGGGACUGAGACACGGCCCAA